CAGCACCCUGUGUGAAAUCAAGCAGUCUGAUCACGGAGGUCCAUCGGUUGCAACUCUGGAGAUAUAGGUUUAGAAGAAGACGAUGAGAUUCAUGUAGAAAUCCUUACCUCCGUCACAACCAACCACCAAGGUCAGCAAUUCAUAACAAUAAAACUAGC